rnacentral:rRNA from 1 species
CUACGGGAGGCAGCAGUGGGGAAUUUUGGACAAUGUGCGCAAGCCUGAUCCAGCCAUGCCGCGUGCGGGAAGAAGGCCUUCGGGUUGUAAACCGCUUUUGUCAGGGAAGAAAAGGUUCUGGGUAAUACCUGGGACUCAUGACGGUACCUGAAGAAUAAGCACCGGCUAACUACGUGCCAGCAGCCGCGGUAAUACGUAGGGUACAAGCGUUAAUCGGAAUUACUGGGCGUAAAGCGUGCGCAGGCGGUUAUGCAAGACAGAGGUGAAAUCCCCGGGCUCAACCUGGGAACUGCCUUUGUGACUGCAUAGCUAGAGUACGGUAGAGGGGGAUGGAAUUCCGCGUGUAGCAGUGAAAUGCGUAGAUAUGCGGAGGAACACCGAUGGCGAAGGCAAUCCCCUGGACCUGUACUGACGCUCAUGCACGAAAGCGUGGGGAGCAAACAGGAUUAGAAACCCUUGUAGUCC